CGUUGGCGAGGCUCCAGCCAGGAGGAUCAACACUAUACACCGGACCGACGACGAGGGAUAAAAAUGUCGGAACAAAAGGGAGCCUCGAGUAGUGCCAUGCGUCGAGUGCCAGCCGGGCCAGCGCUCUCGGUGUGCUCUCCUCGCCCGUGUGCCAGCCAAAUGGAGAGGGUUAUUUUAUUGUCCUGAUUUAUGCGCUGGCCCGACUUGAAUUUUUUUCUUUUUUUUUAUGCCAGCCAGGCCGAUAGGCUUCAAAUGAGCUGUUGUAUGCAGGGAGCUUCUCAUAUGCUACCCAUGUGUGUAUGUAUAUUUUUUUUGUCUUCGUUUGUAUGCCGGGUUGUCGAAUCGGCCCUUUGAAUGCGUGUGCUGUUGAAAUUUUCAUGGUUUAAAAGGUGUCCUCCAUUUUCCUAUCGCUGUGCUUCCAGUGGUCGGCCUCUCGAGCGCCAGCCCGAGUGUGCCCGCCUGAGUGCCAGCCAAGCCCGGCCGUCAGCCGCUCUGGCAGCGAGCGCUCUGUGUGCCGAUGCCUGUCUGCCUGCUGCCUGCCUCCCGCCGCCUGGCCUCCGCGCCUCCUCCCGCUCAGUCAGCACCGCUCGGCCGUCUCGCCCGGACGCCGCGCCAGCCUCCCGAGCGCCGCGUCACGCAGGUGGUGCCAAUACCUUGUCGAUAUCUCCAGAUAAAAAUAAAUAUCAAUGAAUAAAUAAAAAGAGUAAAGAAAAGAA